rnacentral:rRNA from 1 species
UUAAGCGACUAAGCGUACACGGUGGAUGCCCUGGCAGUCAGAGGCGAUGAAGGACGUGCUAAUCUGCGAAAAGCGUCGGUAAGGUGAUAUGAACCGUUACAGCCGGCGAUGUCCGAAUGGGGAAACCCAGUGUGAUUCGUCACACUAUCGUUAACUGAAUACAUAGGUUAACGAGGCGAACCGGGGGAACUGAAACAUCUAAGUACCCCGAGGAAAAGAAAUCAACCGAGAUUCCCCCAGUAGCGGCGAGCGAACGGGGAGCAGCCCAGAGUCUGAAUCAGCUUGUGUGUUAGUGGAACGGUCUGGAAAGUCCGACGGUACAGGGUGAUAGUCCCGUACACCAAAAUGCACAGGCUGUGAACUCGAAGAGUAGGGCGGGACACGUGGUAUCCUGUCUGAAUAUGGGGGGACCAUCCUCCAAGGCUAAAUACUCCUGACUGACCGAUAGUGAACCAGUACCGUGAGGGAAAGGCGAAAAGAACCCCGGCGAGGGGAGUGAAAAAGAACCUGAAACCGUGUACGUACAAGCAGUGGGAGCACCUUCGGGUGUGACUGCGUACCUUUUGUAUAAUGGGUCAGCGACUUAUAUUCUGUAGCAAGGUUAACCGUAUAGGGGAGCCGCAGGGAAACCGAGUCUUAACUGGGCGUUAAGUUGCAGGGUAUAGACCCGAAACCCGGUGAUCUAGCCAUGGGCAGGUUGAAGGUUGGGUAACACUAACUGGAGGACCGAACCGACUAAUGUUGAAAAAUUAGCGGAUGACUUGUGGCUGGGGGUGAAAGGCCAAUCAAACCGGGAGAUAGCUGGUUCUCCCCGAAAGCUAUUUAGGUAGCGCCUCGUGAAUUCAUCUUCGGGGGUAGAGCACUGUUUCGGCUAGGGGGUCAUCCCGACUUACCAACCCGAUGCAAACUACGAAUACCGAAGAAUGUUAUCACGGGAGACACACGGCGGGUGCUAACGUCCGUCGUGAAGAGGGAAACAACCCAGACCGCCAGCUAAGGUCCCAAAGUCAUGGUUAAGUGGGAAACGAUGUGGGAAGGCACAGACAGCCAGGAUGUUGGCUUAGAAGCAGCCAUCAUUUAAAGAAAGCGUAAUAGCUCACUGGUCGAGUCGGCCUGCGCGGAAGAUGUAACGGGGCUAAACCAUGCACCGAAGCUGCGGCAGCGACACUAUGUGUUGUUGGGUAGGGGAGCGUUCUGUAAGCCUGCGAAGGUGUGCUGUGAGGCAUGCUGGAGGUAUCAGAAGUGCGAAUGCUGACAUAAGUAACGAUAAAGCGGGUGAAAAGCCCGCUCGCCGGAAGACCAAGGGUUCCUGUCCAACGUUAAUCGGGGCAGGGUGAGUCGACCCCUAAGGCGAGGCCGAAAGGCGUAGUCGAUGGGAAACAGGUUAAUAUUCCUGUACUUGGUGUUACUGCGAAGGGGGGACGGAGAAGGCUAUGUUAGCCGGGCGACGGUUGUCCCGGUUUAAGCAUGUAGGCUGGUUGUCCAGGCAAAUCCGGAUAAUCAAGGCUGAGGUGUGAUGACGAGGCACUACGGUGCUGAAGUAACAAAUGCCCUGCUUCCAGGAAAAGCCUCUAAGCAUCAGGUAACAUUAAAUCGUACCCCAAACCGACACAGGUGGUCAGGUAGAGAAUACCAAGGCGCUUGAGAGAACUCGGGUGAAGGAACUAGGCAAAAUGGUGCCGUAACUUCGGGAGAAGGCACGCUGGUGUGUAGGUGAAGUCCCUGCGGAUGGAGCUGAGACCAGUCGAAGAUACCAGCUGGCUGCAACUGUUUAUUAAAAACACAGCACUGUGCAAACACGAAAGUGGACGUAUACGGUGUGACGCCUGCCCGGUGCCGGAAGGUUAAUUGAUGGGGUUAUCCGUAAGGAGAAGCUCUUGAUCGAAGCCCCGGUAAACGGCGGCCGUAACUAUAACGGUCCUAAGGUAGCGAAAUUCCUUGUCGGGUAAGUUCCGACCUGCACGAAUGGCGUAAUGAUGGCCAGGCUGUCUCCACCCGAGACUCAGUGAAAUUGAACUCGCUGUGAAGAUGCAGUGUACCCGCGGCAAGACGGAAAGACCCCGUGAACCUUUACUAUAGCUUGACACUGAACAUUGAGCCUUGAUGUGUAGGAUAGGUGGGAGGCUUUGAAGCGUGGACGCCAGUCUGCGUGGAGCCAACCUUGAAAUACCACCCUUUAAUGUUUGAUGUUCUAACGUUGGCCCCUUACCGGGGUUGCGGACAGUGUCUGGUGGGUAGUUUGACUGGGGCGGUCUCCUCCCAAAGCGUAACGGAGGAGCACGAAGGUUAGCUAAUCCUGGUCGGACAUCAGGAGGUUAGUGCAAUGGCAUAAGCUAGCUUGACUGCGAGCGUGACGGCGCGAGCAGGUGCGAAAGCAGGUCAUAGUGAUCCGGUGGUUCUGAAUGGAAGGGCCAUCGCUCAACGGAUAAAAGGUACUCCGGGGAUAACAGGCUGAUACCGCCCAAGAGUUCAUAUCGACGGCGGUGUUUGGCACCUCGAUGUCGGCUCAUCACAUCCUGGGGCUGAAGUAGGUCCCAAGGGUAUGGCUGUUCGCCAUUUAAAGUGGUACGCGAGCUGGGUUUAGAACGUCGUGAGACAGUUCGGUCCCUAUCUGCCGUGGGCGCUGGAGAAUUGAGGGGGGCUGCUCCUAGUACGAGAGGACCGGAGUGGACGCAUCACUGGUGUUCGGGUUGUCAUGCCAAUGGCACUGCCCGGUAGCUAAAUGCGGAAGAGAUAAGUGCUGAAAGCAUCUAAGCACGAAACUUGCCCCGAGAUGAGUUCUCCCUGAGACUUUAAGUCUCCUGAAGGAACGUUAAAGACGAUGACGUUGAUAGGCCGGGUGUGUAAGCGCAGCGAUGCGUUGAGCUAACCGGUACUAAUGAACCGUGAGGCUUAACCUU